CGGCUACCUUGUUACGACUUAGCCCCAGUCACCGGUUUUACCUUAGGCAGCUCUCUCCUUGCGGUUGAGACACUGACUUCGGGUACCCCCGGCUUCCAUGGCUUGACGGGCGGUGUGUACAAGGCCCGGGAACGUAUUCACCGCGGCGUGCUGAUCCGCGAUUACUAGCAAUUCCAGCUUCAUGCAGUCGGGUUUCAGACUGCAAUCCGAACUGAGGUCAUUUUUCAGGGAUUGGCUCCACCUCGCGGUUUUGCAACCCGUUGUAAUGACCAUUGUAGCACGUGUGUAGCCCUGGACGUAAGGGCCAUGAGGACUUGACGUCAUCCCCACCUUCCUCACCGCUUGCGCGGGCAGUCCCACUAGAGUGCCCAGCAUUACCUGAUGGCAACUAAUGGCAGGGGUUGCGCUCGUUGCAGGACUUAACCUAACACCUCACGGCACGAGCUGACGACAGCCAUGCAGCUCCUGUACCAGCUCUCGGCUUUACGAGUCGUUUCCCUUUCAGGAUUCUACUACUGGCCUUUCAAGCCUUGGUAAGGUUCUUCGC
rnacentral:rRNA from 1 species